CAAGCCAUCCAGUAGGAAACAUUGCUUCAUGGUGAUGUUAAAACAACGGCAAAUCCCACGAAACAUGUUUCUCCGGCACAAAACCAAAAUCACAAAGCCUUUCAAACAGAAAUCCAAACAUAUCUUAAAGUGACACAAUCAUCAAGUGUAAAGAAACUCAUCAAGCAUAUUCAAAAACAAACAAUAAUAAAAACACGUAACCAAACCAUUACCUAUGCCGAAGAGAUCGGAUUUGGGUGACUACAGUGGAGACUUAGGUGAGGAUGUCCUCACCCCAAUAGACAAGGUUUGAUGCUAGAAAAAUGAAGAAUGGAUUGAGCUCGAAGGUUGUUGUUGUCGCCGGAAGAAUGUCGAGUCGCGGUGCGGUUCUGGUUGUAGCCUUUCUGGUUGCAACAAGGGUGGCGGCAGAGAGUUUAAGGGACUUGUGGUUUUUGUACAGAUGAAGCGUGGAGUAUGGAGGGUUAUGUUUCUGUGUGAACAGUGUUGCAGAGAGAGAUUUCGAAAAUGUCUUUUAUCCUCUCCUUUGUUCUCUCUUUGAAUGGUAGCCGCUCACCUCCUCUAGAAAUUAGGUUUUUUUCACCUCUCUUCUCCUUUUCUGAAUGGUAGCCGCUCACCUUCUCUAGGGUUUUUUGUGAACAGUGAUCCUCCUUUUAUAUGCCAUUCAUCUCUUUCCUCUGCUGUGUUUUUGUUUCCUUAGAGUAGUGGAGGUCUGCUGUGCAGUGGAGAGGUUUUUUGUACAGAGGAUGUCUGGGGAGUUUUGUCCUUAUUCCACUUGUGGUCCCUCUUCCUCAAUUCUCUCCAUUUCCAAGACUUCACUAUUGCUUCGGCGUGGAUUGAGGUUGGUCUUCUCGAGCCUCACUGUAAGGUCGACGACUGAGACAUCCACAGUUGAGACAAUGAAUGACAUACCGAUCAAUUUUCCAUUCAAGGAAGGAAACACUUUACCGGCAACCUUAGCAGCUCAAACACUUAGCAGCAAUUUAAACCGAUGGCUUGGAGUGCUUUUGUGCUAUUCCGGGAUCCAUAUUGUGUUGUUUGUUUUGUACUUAAAGAGGUGGAGA